rnacentral:rRNA from 1 species
UACAGAGGUCUCAAGCGUUGUUCGGAUUCAUUGGGCGUAAAGGGUGCGUAGGCGGCGCGGUAAGUCGGGUGUGAAAUCUCGGAGCUUAACUCCGAAACUGCAUUCGAUACUGCCGUGCUUGAGGACUGGAGAGGAGACUGGAAUUUACGGUGUAGCGGUGAAAUGCGUAGAUAUCGUAAGGAAGACCAGUGGCGAAGGCGGCUCACUGGACUGGUAUUGACGCUGAGGUGCGAAAGCGUGGGGAGCAAACAGG